rnacentral:rRNA from 1 species
GACGAACGCUGGCGGCGUGCUUAACACAUGCAAGUCGAACGGAAAGGCCCUGCUUUUGUGGGGUGCUCGAGUGGCGAACGGGUGAGUAACACGUGAGUAACCUACCCUUGACUUUGGGAUAACUUCAGGAAACUGGGGCUAAUACCUGAUAGGAGCUCCUGCUGCAUGGUGGGGGUUGGAAAGUUUCGGCGGUUGGGGAUGGACUCGCGGCUUAUCAGCUUGUUGGUGGGGUAGUGGCUUACCAAGGCUUUGACGGGUAGCCGGCCUGAGAGGGUGACCGGCCACAUGGGGACUGAGAUACGGACCAGACUCCUACGGGAGGCAGCAGUGGGGAAUAUUGCGCAAUGGGCGGAAGCGUGAUGCAGCAACGCCGCGUGCGGGAUGACGGCCUUCGGGUGGUAAACCGCUUUCGCCUGUGACGAAGCGUGAGUGACGGUAAUGGGUAAAGAAGCAACGGCUAACUACGUG